rnacentral:lncRNA from 1 species
UAUUUAAGUACAUUUUAAACAAUAACUAGCGAUACUUUAAAGCGUCCGACAAGAAUAAUCCCGACGUUUGUAAAAGUGUCGAAUAAAGACUCGUUAAGUAAAUAUGUUGGAAUAAAUAUACCGACGAUUUAAUAUAGCGUUGAAAAUUUUUUACCAAUAUUUGAUAAAAAUAUGUUUAUUGGUGACGCUUAAUCAUGGUGUCGGUAUAUAACAAAUAUUGAAGAUGCUAAAAUAAAGCGUCGUCUAAAAUAUAUUUUGUUGUAGUGUAUACUAAAUACAAAUUAAAUUGAGAUGAACUAGAACGCUUUGAGAGUAUUAAUUCUUUUUUAACUUCUAAUUUUUUCACUAGUGAAUAAACUCUUUUGGCCAUUACUAGUCUUUAAAUUAAUAUAAUUACCCCAAUCACCACUAUAUCCGGGUUAAUAUGGUAUCCUUACUUAUCAUAUCAUAGGGCCUGUUAAGAUGGACAGUAAAAAAUCUCCACAGAAUUUAUAAAUUGUGGUCUUGGUCCAAAUGAAAUAGAAAAUCCUGUAACUCUAAAAAAUUUUCGGAUUUAAUUUUUAAACUGUUUGGAUGCGCAUUAUGCAAUUUUACGGAAUUUCUCUAAAUUUCAAAAUUAAAAGUUAAAAGUUAAAAUUUAAAAUUUAAAAUUUAAAAUUUAAAAUUUGAUAUGUGAAACGUGAAAUUUUAAAUUUUAAAUUCUAAAUUUUGAAAUUUGAAAUUUAAAAUUUGAAAAUUGAAAAUUGAAAAUUUAAAAUAUAAAAAUCUAAAUUUAUUUUUCUGAUUUUAAAAUUUAAAUUUUAAAAUAAAAAAUUUAAAAUUUAAAAUUUAAAAUUUUGAAUUUUAAAUUUAUAAUUAAAAAUUAAAAAUUACAAAUUUAGAAAAUAAAUUAAAAAUUUAAAGUUCAAAAUUUGAAAUUUGAACUAUGAGAUUUGAGAUUUAAAAUUUGAAAAUUGAAAAUUGAAAUUUAAAAUUUAAAAUUUAAAAUUUAAAAUUUAAAAUUU